ACGCUGGCGGCAGGCUUAACACAUGCAAGUCGAACGGCAACAGGAGAAAGCUUGCUUUCUUGCUGACGAGUGGCGGACGGGUGAGUAAUGCUUGGGAAUCUGGCUUAUGGAGGGGGAUAACGACGGGAAACUGUCGCUAAUACCGCGUAGAGUCGAGAGACGAAAGUGCGGGACCGCAAGGCCGCAUGCCAUAGGAUGAGCCCAAGUGGGAUUAGGUAGUUGGUGGGGUAAUAGCCUACCAAGCCGACGAUCUCUAGCUGGUCUGAGAGGAUGACCAGCCACACCGGGACUGAGACACGGCCCGGACUCCUACGGGAGGCAGCAGUGGGGAAUAUUGCGCAAUGGGGGCAACCCUGACGCAGCCAUGCCGCGUGAAUGAAGAAGGCCUUCGGGUUGUAAAGUUCUUUCGGUAUUGAGGAAGGUUGUUGUGUUAAUAGCACGACAAAUUGACGUUAAAUACAGAAGAAGCACCGGCUAACUCCGUGCCAGCAGCCGCGGUAAUACGGAGGGUGCGAGCGUUAAUCGGAAUAACUGGGCGUAAAGGGCACGCAGGCGGACUUUUAAGUGAGGUGUGAAAUCCCCGGGCUUAACCUGGGAAUUGCAUUUCAGACUGGGAGUCUAGAGUACUUUAGGGAGGGGUAGAAUUCCACGUGUAGUGGUGAAAUGCGUAGAGAUGUGGAGGAAUACCGAAGGCGAAGGCAGCCCCUUGGGAAUGUACUGACGCCCAUGUGCGAAAGCGUGGGGAGCAAACAGGAUUAGAUACCCUGGUAGUCCACGCUGUAAACGCUGUCGAUUUGGGGAUUGGGCUUUAAGCUUGGUGCCCGAAGCUAACGUGAUAAAUCGACCGCCUGGGGAGUACGGCCGCAAGGUUAAAACUCAAAUGAAUUGACGGGGGCCCGCACAAGCGGUGGAGCAUGUGG
rnacentral:rRNA from 1 species